GCGGUUGUAGCUCAGCUGGAUAGAGCAGUUCCCUCCUAAGGAAAAGGUCGUGCGUUCGAAUCGCACCAAUCGCACCA
rnacentral:tRNA from 1 species